UACGUAGGUGGCAAGCGUUGUCCGGAAUUAUUGGGCGUAAAGCGCGCGCAGGUGGUUCGUUGCGUCCGAGGUGAAAUCUCCCGGCUCAACUGGGAGGGGUCUUCGGAUACGGGCGGACUUGAGGAGAGCAGAGGUAGGCGGAAUGCUGGGUGUAGUGGUGAAAUGCGUAGAUAUCCAGCGGAACACCAGUGGCGAAGGCGGCUUACUGGGCUCCACCUGACACUGAGGCGCGAAAGCGUGGGGAGCGAACCGG
rnacentral:rRNA from 1 species